UGGGGAAUAUUGGACAAUGGGCGCAAGCCUGAUCCAGCAAUGCCGCGUGUGUGAAGAAGGCCUUCGGGUUGUAAAGCACUUUUAUCGGGAACGAAAUCGGUUCGGCCAAUACCCGGAUCGUCUGACGGUACCCGAGGAAUAAGCACCGGCUAACUCCGUGCCAGCAGCCGCGGUAAUACGGAGGGUGCAAGCGUUAAUCGGAAUUACUGGGCGUAAAGCGUGCGUAGGCGGUUUGUUAAGUCUGCUGUGAAAGCCCCGGGCUCAACCUGGGAAUGGCAGUGGAUACUGGCAAGCUGGAGUGUGUCAGAGGAUGGCGGAAUUCCCGGUGUAGCGGUGAAAUGCGUAGAGAUCGGGAGGAACAUCAGUGGCGAAGGCGGCCAUCUGGGACAACACUGACGCUGAGGCACGAAAGCGUGGGGAGCAAACA
rnacentral:rRNA from 1 species